AGGCCUUCAGUGGAUAUUCUUUGUAUACCUACCUUCUCGCUACGAUACAGUAAUACAAUAAGAAAUUUAAAAUAAAAAAAACUCUUACACGGGGUUAAAGUAUUUGGCGCCGAAUUUAUUGUUAUAGUAAAUUAAAAAUAAUAAUUUUUCAUCUUCCCUCGCAGAAGAAAAGAAUUUCAAGAGGAUCAGAUCUGUUAUCGGGUCGGGGUUACCCGAAUCGGACAUUCUCCAAGCCCUCUCCCAUUGUGGAAACAACCUUGAUUAUCGUCAACUUCAUUCUUGAUGAUCAUGUCACAGUCAAACGCAUCAUCACCAUCAUCAGUUCCCUGAUUUCAACUCAGGUCAUCAAGCAACGAGGUUAGUGGCAACCAGAAGAACCCAGGUUACAGUGUAAAAGAAGAAGCCGAAAUGGGGAUUGAGAACGAGGCCUGUGUAAAAGAAGAAAUGGGUCUCGAUAGUGAAAAGCAAUUAUUUCCCAAAACAGAGAAGCCAAGCAUCACAAUGAAGGAGAGACCAAAGAACGGAGAUCUUUGUGAAAGAGGGGCUAUUAAUCAUGUACAAGGAAGAAAAAAAGAAAUCAGAGAGUAAUCAACAGGGGAGGUCAUAAUGAGGAGCCUGGAAGAAAGGAUGUUGAAGAGAGAAAGGUUAAUCGUGUUUCAGUGGAAGAUGGAGAUUUCCUUAAGAGAAUAAAUGGUAUUUAGUGGGGUGGAGGACUAUGGUUAAUGCGAUUUCUACUACUAAGGGAAGGAAGUUGGUGGACAAGCAAAUUGUUUAUUUUGUUUUCCUAAUCAAGACAUGAAACCUGCUCGCUUCUCAACAAAACGAUCUGGAGAGUUUAAGCAUUCUACAAUUUAGAUUUUACUUGUUUUCAUUUCCAAGAUGAAGUUCCAGGACGUAGUGUAGCUGCACCAGAAAACCUUUCUAGGUUUUUUCUGUCUUCGAUAGUUGGAUAAAUCAACAUGGAGUUGCUGAAAAUAAAACCAUGUCAAAAUGGAGCCUAGAGGCUCCUUCAGACGUUGAAUAUACAGUUUAUCCCCUCCUUACUCUGUUGAAGUUGCAGAAAAUAAAACCAUAACAAGAGGCUGAAUUCACUCUCGAGGAACUUGAUACUCGGAAACAUUUACUGAAUCUUCAAAGUGAUCCAGAUGAAGCGGCUGCAAUUUUACCUAUGGUGAGUAGGAGAAAGGGUACCCAGCUGAGUCAAGAACAAAACAAAGAUGAAAAAACUAUACCAGACUCAUCUCUUAUUAAGCUUGUUGUUGCAUAAGAUACUUGUAACUUGGAGGUCAAGUGCUUCGAAUGCUGUCUUAUGUUUUCAGAAUCCAGAAAAAUAAUUGCUUUUGAACUCCUCUAAUUCCUCUCUUGAUUAUGCAGGAGAUGGGACCUCCAAGUACACUAAUGUGUGAUUUAAGGGCUUACAGAAACAAGUUCUCUACUGGAUAUCAGAAUCAAGAAAGGAACUGCUGUUAAGGAAGCAGCAAAAACUCUUCAUCCAUGUUGGGUCGCCUAUCGGAUAUGUGACAAGUAUGUAGUUUCCCAUAUGCCUGGAGUAUGCAGAUGACCCUGUGAUCACACCAUGUGCACACAGGAUGUGCAGGGAAUGUCUCCUCUCAAGUUGGUAAACGCCAACAACUGGGCUAUGUACAAUCUUUCGAACACUGCUGAAGGAAACUGACCUCAUAACAUGCCCAACAGAGAACAAGUUCUGGGUUGAAGUUGAGAAGAACUGGAAGGAGUCUUUCAAAGGUUUAAAGCUCCUGGAAUGAUUGGAACAUAUUCUUAGGUAAGGUUCUAGUGGAAAAGAGCUUCAUUUUUGGACCUUGUAGAGAUCCCAUUGAGAAGGAGAGGAACUGGGUUCUUAAGGUUUGAUAAAAACAAAAAACUGGCACAGAAGCAAAGGCAGAGGAGGGUUUCAAGGAGUUCAAUGAAACCAAAGAAAAAGUGGUAUUGCUGAUGCCUUAGAAAGCUGCUGGUGUGUGUAUGAAUCUAACUGCAGCCUUAAAUGUCCUUUUAAUGCAUCCCACCAGGCAUCCUGCAGUAGAGGAGCAAGCAAUAAUGUGAAUCCACUGGCUGGACAAAAACACAGUUUCUGCUAGAAGAGUCAUUGUUAAGGUCAGAUUAUCCUGCUAGCUUUUCAAGGUUUCAGAAAUUAAGUUGAAUUUAUGGAAGCUCUAGUUUCUGGAAUUUGUCAAAAUCUGUCCUGAAACUUCUUACUUUGGGUUCUUUGAGAAUUCUAAGAAAUUGAUUGCCGCAUUCCACGUUGAUGUAGAUAUAUUUAAUUUAUUAAGACUUAGCAUCAUCUAGCACAAGAAAACUGUUGGGGCCAAUUGAAAAUUAGAUCUUAGCCUGCCUUGGUUGAAUAGACCAGGUAUUAGAUUAAGAUUUUGAGUUUAAAACAAGAAAGUCAUCCAAGCUUAAUGAUUCCGGAUAUAAUUUAACAAAUGGAAGGCUGUUCUUCCAGGUCCUUUGUCACAGGCCUAAUAUCUUUUUUUUUGUUGUCUGCGUAAUUGUUGUGGCAAUUUGAGGGCUGACAAUUAACUGUUCAUCGUUUCCUAAAGCUUCAACAAUGGCUCAAGGUCAUUUUCACUAUACUCGCUGUAAUAUGUAUUCCUCCUGUUGCAUUUGCCUGGAAAUCCAGCAUUGCAUCAAAUUGCUUUACAAGGCACCUCAGCCUGUACUAUUGGUCUAGAUUCAAAUUUCUGGAAUAUAAUUUGAAACGAAAUUCUGUCUCACUUAUUAUAUUGUGCCUGAGCUUUGCAUUAGUCAGGGUUAUGCUUUGAUAAACAACAGGGUUAGCAGUCUGUGUUGAAUAGUCCACGAGGAAUAAUUUGUCGCGUAUUUGACUAACAUUACUUUAACCUUGAGUUUUACUAAUCAACAGGCCUGUUAACAAGAUUUUCUAAGCGUGAGAAGGCCCCGUGGAGCAACGCCUACAGCGAGUCCAGGCAAGGAAGCGACGCGUGAUUGACAAAGCACGGUUUCGAAUUGAGUUGAGAGUGAAUCUGUUUUU